rnacentral:lncRNA from 1 species
UGCUGGGAAGCAGCAAAGGAACGUAACAGAAAGAGAAGGUCUGGGGACAAGAAUAUCCAACCAAGCUCACACCUCCACUCUAAAGCAGACACACCCAGGAGUGCACUUCAUCAAUUACUUGGAAGCAAUAAUAGGACAAUUUUCCCGUGGGUGAAAUGACAGGCUUCCCUGAGAAAAGGGUGAGGGGAACAGAAAGCAUGCUAUGAUCACCCUGGGUCAGGCAACCCCAGGACCACAGCCAGAAGACAGUGUUCCUUUUGCUGUGGAGAUCUGGAUUUGAAAUAAGUUGUGCCAGAAGCAAAGACCUUGCUAAUAAAUACAGGACUUUAAAGAAGC